rfam:Glycine soja cultivar W05 scaffold1617_20, whole genome shotgun sequence.
CAGAAAUAGGAGUUCCCUUGCAGCCCAAAACACCCUGCAUGAACUUCAUGUUGUUUUGGACCGAAGGGAGCCCCUUCUUCUU